rnacentral:rRNA from 1 species
CAGUCGCCACGGGAAUACAUAGGUGGCAAGCGUUGUCCGGAAUUAUUGGGCGUAAAGGGCUCGCAGGCGGUUUCUUAAGUCUGAUGUGAAAGCCCCCGGCUCAACCGGGGAGGGUCAUUGGAAACUGGGAAACUUGAGUGCAGAAGAGGAGAGUGGAAUUCCACGUGUAGCGGUGAAAUGCGUAGAGAUGUGGAGGAACACCAGUGGCGAAGGCGACUCUCUGGUCUGUAACUGACGCUGAGGAGCGAAAGCGUGGGGAGCGAACAGGAUUAGAUACCCGUGUAGUCCCUGUCUCUUAUAC